rnacentral:rRNA from 1 species
GAUUGCAGGCUGCAACCCGCCUGCAUGAAGCCGGAGUUGCUAGUAACCGCUGGUCAGCCAUACAGCGGUGAAUACGUUCCCGGGCCUUGUACACACCGCCCGUCACGUCAUGGGAGCCGACAAUACCUGAAGCCGGUGGGCCAACCGUAAGGAGGCAGCCGUCGAAGGUAGGGUUGGUGACUGGGACGAAGUCGUAACAAGGUAGCUGUACCGGAAGGUGCGGCUGGAUCACCUCCUUUCUAGGGAG